AGUUCGGAUUGUAGGCUGAAACUCGCCUACAUGAAGCUGGAAUUGCUAGUAAUCACAGGUCAGCAUACUGUGGUGAAUACGUUCCCGGGCCUUGUACACACCGCCGUCACACCAUGAGAGUUGAGAAUACCCGAAGCCCAUGUCAAAGUGGUCGAAGGUAGGCUUGAUGAUUGGGUGAAGUCGUAACAAGGUAGC
rnacentral:rRNA from 1 species